UUUAGAAAUGAUUUUCGUUGAAGUAUUGCUUUUUGAUUUGGAAAAAAAAAACUGCGAAAGACGACUUAGUCUAUAUUACUGUGUAAUGGUUUAUAUUAAUUGAUAUAAUAAAAUAUAGAAAUUUGAAAAAAAAUGUGUAGGUCUUUUUUUGCAGAGUAUAUCUUAAAUUGUCCAGUUUUUUUUUAUUAUUAUUAAAUAUAGGCACCCUAAUUAUAGGACCCUGAAUUCAGUUUCCAUUAACAGAAAAAACCCUAUACAUCAUUGAUGAUUUAUAUUUUAUAAUACUGAUAAAGUUCUAAUAUAACAUCAUUAAGUAUAAUACUGUAUUUAUAAUAUAGAGUAUAUUAUGAUAACUAUCUAUUAUUUUGUCAGGUUAG